rnacentral:rRNA from 1 species
AACGAACGCUGGCGGCAGGCUUAACACAUGCAAGUCGAACGCCCCGCAAGGGGAGUGGCAGACGGGUGAGUAACGCGUGGGAACAUACCCUUUUCUACGGAAUAGCUCUGGGAAACUGGAAUUAAUACCGUAUACGCCCUACGGGGGAAAGAUUUAUCGGGGAAGGAUUGGCCCGCGUUGGAUUAGCUAGUUGGUGGGGUAAAGGCCUACCAAGGCGACGAUCCAUAGCUGGUCUGAGAGGAUGAUCAGCCACAUUGGGACUGAGACACGGCCCAAACUCCGCGGGGGGGGGGGGGGGGGGAAUAGGGAACAAGGGGGCAAGGCUGGACCGACCUGGGCGGGGGGGGGGGGGGGGCCUUGGGGGUGGAAAGCUCUUUUCACAAGUGAAGAAAAGGGGGGGGGGGGGAAAAGAGGCCCGGGCUAAUUUGGUG